UCAAUAUUAAAAAUACUCUAAAAUCAUGACAGUAAAUAAAGAACAACACUCUGAAAACAGAGGAAUUACAGACAUGAGUCAAUCAGGGGCAGCUAACACCUCCGAACAAAGGAUUCCCCCAGAAAGGAAUGAAGCUUGCAAGGCCAUUAAUGCUAAUGAAGGUGGCUAAUUGCAACCUUCACAUUUGCCUUGGGCAGACAAGAGUUCUGUCCACCGUGGACCUUCCACAGAUAUAUAAACCUCCCAUGCUUAGUUUGCAAUAUACUUCACAAUCUUUGAGGAUGCUUGCCAUAGAUGUGGGCGAAACGUCAGGAGAGAAUGCUUCUGGAACAUGAUCGUACAACCCGGAAAAAUCACAGCAACCCAAUUAGGGAGUUGCGUGGAUACUACGCUUUCGGUUUUGAAUUUUUUUCCCCCUGGAAACAUAAAUGGGUAUUUUAAGUUUGUCUGACGUCGAGAUGAGACGAAAGGGUUUAUAAACAAAUAUGAUUUGCUCACGAUUACAACCAACAAAGGGUUUUUAAAACCUUAUUUUGGAAUGGAAGAACGAAGCCCGCAUUCAUUUUGGGCGAAGAAACGCAGGCGGCUGUAUCUUUUGUUCCAUUUCCAAGCAGAGAGCCAAGCUUUAGCCUGUAAAAGGGAUCUUUUUCAAAUUCACGGAUUUUUAGCAUGAACUAAAUCUCUUCUUCCAAGGUAUUGAUGGAUGCACAGUAUUCAAGGCUCAGAUAUUUAAGCAGAGUGAAACAUCUCCCUUAACACGCAACUCGUCUCCAAGAAUCGAGGUAACGGAUAUAAACAGCGUUCAGAAUCACACUAGAGAAAAAAAAUCCACUUAAAAUACGGUUUCUGCCUCCUGCAGAAUUCUGGGGUUUGUAGUUUAGUGAGGCUGUUAAAGGCUCCUCCCUAAACUACAAAUCCCAGAAUUCUGCAGGAGGCAGAAACCGGAUUUUAAGUGGAUUUUUUCUCUAGAAUUUAUUCUCUUUUCCCAGCCAGAUACAUAUUUUUUCCCUUUAAUCCGACCCUUUUAACUGUCAUUAGGUGCAAUUGUAAAUCAGUUGGAAAAGGAAGCCUACUCCAUGACUUUAAGAAAAGAGAAGACCCAUUGGAUUACACGAGAAGCGACUUGAGAACAUACUGCAAGUCGCUUCUGGUGUGGGAGAAUUGGCCAUCUACAGAGACGUUGCCCAGGGGACGUCCGGCUGUGUUACCAUCCUGCUGGGAGGCUUCUCUCAUGUCCCCACAAGCUAGAGAUGACAGAUGGGAGCUCACCCUGUCUCGUGGAUUCAAACCAGUAACCUUCAAGUCAGCAUCAGCAACCCAACCUUCAGGUCAGCAGGUCAUCCACUUUGACACCGAGUCCUUGAUGGAGUACUUCCUCAUUCUUCCACAUGCUGCUGGACAUUUUUAUGGUGAUGUUAAUUAGUUAAAUUAGCCUCCCUGCAUAAAGCACCACCUAAAUUUCCUACUCGACAGAUGCUACAAAUAUCGGAAACAGCAAAUGAAGUACCAAGAGUUUUUCAUGUACUUAUUAUAUUGAGUUCCAUCACAGAUCCUCUAAAAAUACAAGGUGAAAGCUCUCCUGGCAUGAUAUUUUACAAAACCAGGAUAUGUAUGUUCCUGAGUGAUUAUAUGAUACCAUGGAAUAACCAAAGCUUGGAAGUAAAGGACUACGAAUAAUCUGUUAUGCGGAAAUGGAUCAUAAUAAUGUAACAAAGCUAUGUUCCAAAAGCAACAGAAUGAAUGGGAAUUGCUUAAAUAUGGCACUGUGUAUGAUAGUGGUGAUAUCGUGUGCACUAUUUUCUAAUUAGUUGGAAAACGAGCCUUAAAAUGCUAUUUCUGUGUGUUUUUAAUUUGUGUAUAUAUGAUAUUUUUAAGUUAACUGUUCAUGUUUGAAUGGCAUCGAAUUGUUGCCGAUUGUUAGCUGCUCUGAGUCCCUCUAUGAGCGACAGAGGACAGGAUAUUAAACAAAGUAAAUAAAUAAGGAAAUAAAUUUCUGGGAUUUUAAAGCAGAAUUAUUUAGUUUUCUGCCAUUUUCUUAUUUCCUUAUGCUAAGGUAUAUUUUUCAAGUACAGUAGAGUCUCACUUAUCCAACAUAAACGGUCCAGCAGAAUAUGUUGGAUAAUAAGGAGGCAUUAAGGAAAAGCCUAUUAAACAUCAAAUUAGAUUAUGAUUUUACAAAUUAAGCACCAAAACAUCAUGUUAUACAACAAAUUUGAAAGAAAAAGUAGUUCAAUACGCAGUAAAGCUAUGUAGUAAUUACUGUAUUUACAAAUUUAGCACCAAAAUAUCACUAUAUAUUGAAAACAUUGACUACAAAAAUGCGUUGGAUAAUCCAGAACGUUGGAUAAGUGUGUGUUGGAUAAGUGAGACUCUACUGUAC
rnacentral:lncRNA from 1 species